rnacentral:rRNA from 1 species
GACGAACGCUGGCGGCGUGCCUAAUACAUGCAAGUUGAGCGCUGAAGGUUGGUACUUGUACCAACUGGAUGAGCAGCGAACGGGUGAGUAACGCGUGGGGAAUCUGCCUUUGGGCGGGGGACAACAUUUGGAAACGAAUGCUAAUACCGCAUAAAAACUUUAAACACAAGUUUUAAGUUUGAAAGAUGCAAUUGCAUCACUCAAAGAUGAUCCCGCGUUGUAUUAGCUAGUUGGUGAGGUAAAGGCUCACCAAGGCGAUGAUACAUAGCCGACCUGAGAGGGUGAUCGGCCACAUUGGGACUGAGACACGGCCCAAACUCCUACGGGAGGCAGCAGUAGGGAAUCUUCGGCAAUAGACGAAAGUCUGACCGAGCAACGCCGCGUGAGUGAAGAAGGUUUUCGGAUCGUAAAACUCUGUUGGUAGAGAAGAACGUUGGUGAGAGUGGAAAGCUCAUCAAGUGACGGUAACUACCCAGAAAGGGACGGCUAACUACGUG